ACCAAUUUUCAGACAGGGGAUUACAAACUUAAAUAUAUAAAAAAAAUUAAAUCCAGAAAUUAACCACUAAAUCAAAAAUCACCCCACUAAAUUACGAAGGCAUUGCAUCUGCUCAGGGAAAACCCAAUAGAGAGAAUGGAGCGACAUGGAGGAAGGAGAAGGAGAGAGGAUCGAUCGCGAGAGAGAGGGAGGUAGAUCGGAGGCUUUCCGACACAUGAAGGAAAAGUGCCACCACGGGAAAGUGAAGACUGGGAAGGAGGGAGAGACUUCCGGGAGACCAAACGUCUUCUCCACCGCUCACGAAUGCCAACGCUUAUGCAAGGAAACAUGCAAUGAAAUAUCAAUACUCACCAUUCUCCCUAAUACAAGCAAAGUCGUAAUAGGGAGAGGAAUUUGGAGGAGGCUGCAUGCAGAACUUAAUCAGAGCAUAGCCACUGACGAGAGAGGGUCAACAACGCAAUUGUGAGCGAGAUGCAAGUAAAUCUGCCCCCUACAGCUUAGAUUUAAAAAAAGUACAUAUUGAAUUCUGGUUAUGGUAUAUUAUAAAUCGGUAUGAAACGACCUAGAAAUUAAGAGUGAAGGGGGAAGUUCAGUGGAUAAGACACUUACCAUAAGAGUAAAUCGGAAGAGAAAUCUAGCAAGGGUGGGUUAGUAGAAGAGGGAGAUUAAUAUGAAAACUGAUGAGCAUAUCGGAAAACAAAACUAGAGAUGUCACAGAUUUAAUGAAAGAAAUAAAAGGAUAUUGGUUCCAUCAGAUGAGCGAGAUAUGCAGGGUAAGGGUUAAAUGACAUAUAUAAAAUUGGAGAAAUAAAUGAG
rnacentral:lncRNA from 1 species